GUUUGAUCACCAUUAAUUUGUAUUGUAUGGACCUACAGUGUUGUGAGAUCUUCAUUUUUGUUCUGCUGAAGAAAGAAUGUCAUACGAAUCAGUGUGGCAUGAGGGAAACACUUCAAAACCUCCAAUCCUGCUUAACUCAAAAGCUUACUGACUGUCUGUGACAUCAAAAGAAAUAGGGACUUUUGGAUUAUAAGUUUCUUGUGUUUGUCGGAGCACUCUAUCACUGAGAGUUCUGCUGACUAGAGAGGAUCACGGGAAAGUGUGGUGCGACAGGCUUGUCUCUACGUCAGCUCAGAAAACGACAAAGACAAACCCCACAAUGGAAAGCCAUCUCUCCUGCAAGGCUAAUUUAAAACGAAGCCCUCACUUCCUGUUCCAAAGCCAAACCAAAAAUAUAGAGUGGAGGCCCGG